CGGUUUUAACCCGGAGAAGGUGGGGUGACUUCAAGUCCCCAUGGCCUUUCGGGCUGGGCUCACCCCUGCUACAAUUGGAAACUACAGUGGGCAGCAAUCCCGCGAGGGUGAGCUAAUCUCCAAAAGUUCUCUCCAUUCGGAAUGUUCUCUGCACUCGAGAGCAUGAAGGCGGAAUUGCUUGUAAUCGCGGAUCAGCAUGCCGCGGUGAAUACGUUCCCAGGCCUUGUACACACCGCCCGUCACACCAUGGGAGUUGGAUUCACCCCGAAAGGCGUCGCGCUAACCGCAGAGUAUGACACCUCGCCCACCACGUAGCAAGA
rnacentral:rRNA from 1 species